CUCAUCUCCCCAUUAGCAGGGACCCUCCACAGGAGGGCUGAAUUCAUUUGGCUGACAAAGAAAAACAACUUCCGAGCAGCCUGUUUGAUAACCCCUCAGCACAGCUAAAUGAAGUCUC
rfam:Pteropus alecto contig102978, whole genome shotgun sequence.